rnacentral:rRNA from 1 species
UACAUGGGGUGCAAACGUUGCUCGGAAUUAUUGGGCGUAAAGCGCACGUAGGUGGUCUGUUAUGUCAGAUGUGAAAGCCCUCGGCUUAACUGAGGAAGUGCACCUGAAACUGGCAGGCUUGAGUACGAAAGAGGGUCGCGGAAUUCCCGGUGUAGAGGUGAAAUUCGUAGAUAUCGGGAGGAACACCAGUGGCGAAGGCGGCUCACUGGCCCGGUACUGACGCUGAGGUGCGAAAGCGUGGGAGCAAACAGG